UGUACUCUGUUUGAUUUAAGCAACAAGGAAUUUAUUGAAAGGAAAGCAAACAGCCCACGGAAUCACCAUAAACCAUAUGAACUUAUGAUUUAUCAACUUCUGUGUAUACAAGUUCAGGCAAAUGGAUGUCCAGGGCUAACUCUAAUGGUCAUAUAUUCACAAAGCAAGGUAUAAUGCAUAUUAGUCAUUUUGAAAAUAUUGUUUUAAGUAUAAAUAUGUAUUCUUACUCAUGUAAACUCCUUUUGAAGCAACUUUUGCAUUCAAUAAUCCUUAUUCCAACACACUCUUGGUCUGAAGGCAGAAUCAUUACAAAGUGCUAUAGGUAGAAAAAGAAAGAAAGAAAAGGAAGAAAGAAAGAAAGAAAGAAAGAAAGAAAGAAAGAAAGAAAGAAAGAAAGAAAGAAAGAGAAAGGAAGGAAGGGAGGAAGAAAAAAAGAAAGAGGUAGCUUCUAUGGAAGUAGAGACGGUCUACCAAACCCUGUGUAUUUUCAGACACUAAGACUUUCUGAUUCCUUGCUUAGACCUUAGUGCAGUGGAAAGAACAUGGGCAUCUGUGUUCAGCAGGCCUGAAUCCUACCUCUGCUUUACGUACUAGACAAGAAAAACUACUUAAUCUAUCCAAGCCUCAAUUUGUUAAUCUGAGAAAAAUACAUGUGUUCUAUCUCAUGGUAGGAUUCAAUGAGGUAAUAUAUGAAAGUGCCAAGCAUCCUUUCUGGAACAUAGGAGGAGGAAGAGAAAAAGGAAAAAGAAAAAAACAUAGUGAAAAGUGGCUACCAAGAAUGACCAUGGUUAGUCAUCUCACAGAAUCCCUCUUAGUUCUGUCUCCUUUAUGUCUUAAAUAUUACUGCUAAGCUUACCUUCUAUAUUUGCCAUUUUGAUUUCCCUUCUUUCUUCUUCUUCUCUUAGCAUAGGCCUGAAGGUUUUUAGGAAAUUGGACAGGAUAGAAUUAUGGAACUUAAAAAUCCUUCUGCAUAUAGAGUUGCUGAAAAAGAAAAUAUUCCUAUUUAGUUUCACUUUUUUUUUUCCAGUUUAAAACAACAUACACAGUUUCUGUAGGUCAAGAAUCCCAAGUGUGGUUUAACUGGGUUCUCUGCUUUGGGGUCUCACCAGACUUCAACUAAUGUGUUGGCUGGGCUAUAAUCUCAUCUUGAAGUUUGACUGGGAAAGGGUCCACCUCGAGGAUCACUCAGUUCCUUGAAGCUGUCAGGCCUCCUACAAGCUAUCUGCAGAUCCUUGCCAUGUGGGCCCCUUCACGGACAGUUCAUAACAUGGCUUCUUCAAAGCCAGCAGGAGAUGGAGAACAAGCCUGCCAGCAAGUUGGAAUCUUAGAAACAUAAUGUAAUCACAGGAGUGCCAUCCCAUCCCCUUUGCCAUAGUCUUGAUUAGAAGCAAUCACAUGAGGGCACCUGGGUGGCUCAGUCAAUUGAGUGUCCAACUUUGGCUCAAGUCGUGAUCUCACAGUUCAUGAGUUUGGGCCCUGCGUCGGGCUCUGUGCUGACAGCUCAGAGUUUGGAGCCUGCUUCACAUUCUGUGUUUCCUUUUCUUUCUGCCCCUCCCCUGCUCAUGUUCUGUCUCUCAAAAAAAUGAAUGUGUUAAAAAAAAAAAAAAAAAAAGCAAAUCGCAGGUCCCACCCAUACGCAGGGGAGGGAAGCAAUCAUACACAAGGGUGAACCCCAGACAGUUGAAUACUAGACACUUCAACUUUUAAAAUUGUUUUCAUAUUUCCCUCAUGUCUAAUGACUUCCUCAAGUAUCAGUUUUAAAAUUGUGGAUUAAGAAUGGUGGUUUGCCUUAAACCCUUUGGGAAAUGAGAUGGGAUGUCCAUAUAAAUGCAAAAGUCAAAAUGACAUGUUCUUCAUAUAUGGAGGCACCAAAGACUAUUCAUUCAAGAUGGAUACUUGGAGUUAUUUCUCGGUCACUUUCAUGCUUUUCACUGCUAGCUUCCCUUGACCACAGGCACAUACUUCUGAGGGAAUAAUUCAGAGGGACAAUGGCUAUUAAAAAAAAAAAAUCUCUGAGUAAUGAGCAUCAAGUAGAUGUCAACCCGCUGGCCUUGAUCCUUUAGCACCAACUAAGAUUUGGUUUAUCCAAAAUUAAGUCAGCAGCUAUUUAUUACUAAAACUAACGUCCAUUUUAAAAUAUUUAUGUAAUUUUCAUCUUCUUCAAUAAUCCCAAACAGGAGUGAUGGGGUUACUAAUUUGAUUUUUUCCUACAAAUAAAAUUACAUAUAGUGAUUCCCUAAUGACUCCUUGGAUUCAAUUUAAUGAGGAGUCCACUCACUACAUAUACUUACAUGCUUUUGUACUUUUGUGUGAUGGAACAUGAAGAAACCAUUAGGCGUUAAAUAAGCCAAUGUGUUGCCAUUAAAUAACUAGUGUGAUGACUAGCAUGAUUGUUUGUUUUUUCUAAAUGCUGUUCCUAUAAUUCGUAAUAAUUGUUAUCUAUUCGUAGUAGCCUUAGAAGGAUCUAUCUACCCCUUCCACUGUGUAUUUGGCCUAAAAGAUUAGUUUUUAAUCAUAAAUAAAUAAUUAAUGAUAGUUUAUAAGACACUUAACAACUUUUAAUACUUGCCUUUGAAAUAAAGUUCAUUUUAGAAAAAAAA